UACGGGGGGAGCAAGCGUUGUUCGGAUUUACUGGGCGUAAAGGGCGCGUAGGCGGUCAGCACAAGUCAGUUGUGAAAUCUCCGGGCUUAACUCGGAAAGGUCAACUGAUACUGUGCGACUAGAGUGCGGAAGGGGCAACUGGAAUUCUUGGUGUAGCGGUGAAAUGCGUAGAUAUCAAGAGGAACACCGGUGGCGAAGGCGGGUCUCUGGGCCGUAACUGACGCUGAGGAGCGAAAGCGUGGGGAGCGAACAGG
rnacentral:rRNA from 1 species